GUGGGGAAUAUUGGACAAUGGGCGAAAGCCUGAUCCAGCCAUGCCGCGUGUGUGAAGAAGGUCUUCGGAUUGUAAAGCACUUUAAGUUGGGAGGAAGGGCAGUAAGUUAAUACCUUGCUGUUUUGACGUUACCGACAGAAUAAGCACCGGCUAACUUCGUGCCAGCAGCCGCGGUAAUACGAAGGGUGCAAGCGUUAAUCGGAAUUACUGGGCGUAAAGCGCGCGUAGGUGGUUUUGUAAGUUGGAGGUGAAAUCCCCGGGCUCAACCUGGGAACUGCCUCCAAAACUGCAUGACUAGAGUACGGUAGAGGGUAGUGGAAUUGCCUGUGUAGCGGUGAAAUGCGUAGAUAUAGGAAGGAACACCAGUGGCGAAGGCGACUACCUGGACUGAUACUGACACUGAGGUGCGAAAGCGUGGGGAGCAAACAGGAUUAGAAACCCGGGUAGUCC
rnacentral:rRNA from 1 species